rnacentral:rRNA from 1 species
CUCGUAGGCGGUUUGUCGCGUCUGCUGUGAAAUCCCGAGGCUCAACCUCGGGUCUGCAGUGGGUACGGGCAGACUAGAGUGCGGUAGGGGAGAUUGGAACUCCUGGUGUAGCGGUGGAAUGCGCAGAUAUCAGGAAGAACACCAAUGGCGAAGGCAGAUCUCUGGGCCGUUACUGACGCUGAGGAGCGAAAGCGUGGGGAGCGAACA